rnacentral:rRNA from 1 species
CAAUAGCGUAUAUUAAAGUUGUUGCAGUUAAAAAGCUCGUAGUUGGAUUUCUGGAUGGAGCGACCGGUCGGGCAUUAAUUUGUCUGCACUGGAGUCGGUUCCGUCCAUCCUCUUGGAAAGUGCGUGGGGCAUUAAGUUGUCUGGCGUAUGAUCCAAGUCGUUUACUGUGAAAAAAUUAGAGUGUUUAAAGCAGGCCUUCGCCUUGAAUACAUUAGCAUGGAAUAAUAAGAUAGGACUUUGGUCUAUUUUGUUGGUUUGCAGACCGAAGUAAUGAUUAAUAGGGAUAGUUGGGGGUAUUUAUAUUCCGAUGUCAGAGGUGAAAUUCUUAGAUUUUCGGAAGAUAAACUUAUGCGAAAGCAUUUACCAAGGAUGCUUUCAUUAA